UUUUUUGCACAAGCUUGAUACAAAAUCACAGAAGAUCAUUCCAUCACUCCUAGAGGAAACACAAGGAAAAGCUACAAAGAUUAACACACUAAAACCUAUCUGCAAGUUAACAACUUUGAUCUCUGCAAGCAACUGCUUGCUAUAUUCAAUAAGGAAUCGUUUGGUUGGUUCCUUAAUUAAGAUUUGCUUAUUCCCAUUUGCACACAACAAAAUCGACCCAAUCUUUCCUUUGGUCUUUCAAGCUUAUAAGCUUCAUCAUUCCCCUGCAUCACUUUUCCUCAAUCCUCAGUCUGUCAAUUAUUACAACUGAUUUUGUCAUUUUAUACCCUUUUUUAGCAAAUUUUAUUACCCAUUAUCAAGCAAAAACCACGCAUACAGAAACAGAGUAUGGACAGUUCAACAUGUAAUCAAUCACGAUUAUAAUAUACAAAACAAAAAUAAAGCUAUCAACGAGAAUACUAACGCCAUACUACUAAACAAC
rnacentral:lncRNA from 1 species